AGACCUGGGCCAAGUUAAGACCAUGAUCACGAAGGUGGUUUCCCCAGGGCGAGGUUCACCCAUUGCACUCCGGGUGUGCUGACCCCUAUGAUUUCCCCAAAUGUGGAAAACUCGACUGCAUAAUUUGUGGUAGUGGGAGACUGCGUUCACGCUCUCCCCUG